rnacentral:rRNA from 1 species
AUUGAACGCUGGCGGCAUGCCUUACACAUGCAAGUCGAACGGCAGCACGGGAGCAAUCCUGGUGGCGAGUGGCGAACGGGUGAGUAAUAUAUCGGAACGUGCCCAGUCGUGGGGAUAACGUAGCGAAAGCUACGCUAAUACCGCAUACGAUCUAUGGAUGAAAGCGGGGGGAUCGCAAGACCUCGCGCGAUUGGAGCGGCCGAUAUCAGAUUAGGUAGUUGGUGAGGUAAAGGCUCACCAAGCCGACGAUCUGUAGCUGGUCUGAGAGGACGACCAGCCACACUGGGACUGAGACACGGCCCAGACUCCUACGGGAGGCAGCAUGGGGAAUUUUGGACAAUGGGCGCAAGCCUGAUCCAGCAAUGCCGCGUGCAGGAUGAAGGCCUUCGGGUUCGGUAAACGUA